CUCCAAAGAAGGAUUCUCAUGUGUUACCUCUGAUCCAGUAAUAAGCAGGCAUAUUGGAAAUUUCAUGGAAGAGCUUGUUCUUAUCACACUUUCUGCCUAACUUGGCAGAAUCAAGAAGUUCAGCAAUCAGGAGAUAUCUAUAUCGCCACAGGAAGAGGAAUUUGGGGGGCAUAACACUGAAAUAAAGUCUUGCAUCAAUAUUAUACCAUCAGACCAGAAGCCUUUCACUGGGGACCAUUCCAGAUCUAAGGUGACCUUCCAUAACAUGGUGUCCACUCCACCGAAAUGUUUUGAAGGAUUACUGGAAGCUGCAAAUUAAAGGAGAUGCUCUGCUCUGAAAGCUGUUUUCCAGUCUGUGCCAGAACAUGUGAAGCUGUGUAGAACACUUCUGUUGAUAAACCUCCAGGCUCCAUUUCUCCAUAAUUGAUUUAGUUGUUAUUAGUUAUGCAGGGAGAGAAGAGAUCCUCAAGGCUUGGUAAGGCAGUAUUCCGUUACUAAAAGCAACCCUUUGUGAAUUAACAUUAAAAUACCAAAACCGCCUCAAUAUUAUUCCUUUAAGUCUUUUUUUCCUGGACACCAGCUGUCACAGAGGAAGUCUCCAGCCUCAUCUUCUCCUGCCUCCUUAUCCGGCUGGAGCUGCAUCAGCAUGGCCUGCAGAGUUUCCUUCACCAUCUGGAUCUCCCUCUGUAGAGACUG